CCACUGCCAUUGCACUCCAGCCUGGGCAACAAGAGCAAAACUCAGUUUCAAAAAAAAAAAAAAAUGCUUUCUAGUGAUGAUGAGAAUGCAAGGAAAUAGUUUCUUCUAUGCAAUGUUGGUGAGAACGAAAAUAAGGACAACCUUUUGUGAAGAUAACUUAGUAGUAUCUUAAUACAGACCUUCUGAUUCAUCACUAUCACUUAUAUAACUCUAUCCUACUGAAAUAAUAAGGUAAAUGUGAAAUGAUAUAGGCGCAAAGGUAGUCACUGAAGCACUAUUUGUAAAAGUAAAAACCUAGAAACCUAAAUCCCCAUCAAUAGCAGAAGGAUUGUUUAAAUGAUGUAACUUUCACAUUGAACAUUAUGCAGCCAUGUGUAGACCCACAUAUAUUCACCUGGAAAGAAAUUCAUGACAUAAAGUGGAAAAAAUGCAGAACUCUACUUAUGAAAUCAUUUGGGGAAGGAGAGGAAGUGGAGAAGAUAAGGCAGUUGGGGCAAAAACAACUGUGUAAACAUAGAAAACAAGCCUGUAUGGUUGUGCAAAAUAGUAAUAGUUAUAAGAAUGUGAGGGUUAUUUUAGAAAAAUCCAUGGCUGGGAACUGAGAGUGGAAAAUUCCACAAUGAAGAUAGGUCUAGUGACUGACCGCCCUUUGUGUCUCUGCUGGUGUCUGUGCAUCUACUCUCUUCCAUCUUUUCUGAUCAGUCUCUUCUGCUUAUUCAUUAUUUCUGUUCCAUAUUAUUUGGCUCACACAUGGCCCAGCAUGGAGACUCCUAUCUCUUUGCUAGUCCCUGAAUACAUCAGAAGGUUGACAAAUUUGCAGAGGAAUUUUGUGAAGAACAAAUUGUAUAUACUGAUUUUACUUGGCUUUAUUUUUACCAUUGGAAGAACAAAUAAUUCCAAAACUGGGUGAAAAACCAGGGUAAAGGUAAAAAAAUGAUACAAGGAAAAGUUGACUCUCAGAUAGAAAGAUGACUCAGUUUUUCAAUUAUUUAAAAAUAAUUUAUCAGUUAUCAUAUUCAGAAGAAGCAUAGGACAUUUUGAGGAAAUCAAGUUUAGUAGAUUCAUUUUCUUUAGAUUUAUUUUUAAUUAUAAAAAUUCAAGUUAGGAGCUGUAAAACAUGAACGGAAGACUGGUUUAUUUGGUCGCUGAGGAAGAGAUCAGUCUUACCAUAGGACCCUCAGGGCUGGGCUUCAACAUUGUAGGUGGGACAGAUCAGCAGUAUGUCUCCAACGACAGUGGCAUCUACGUCAGCCGCAUCAAAGAAAAUGGGGCUGCGGCCCUGGAUGGGCGGCUCCAGGAGCGUGAUAAGAUCCUUUCAGUAAAUGGCCAAGACCUAAAGAACCUGCUGUACCAGAAUGCUGUAGACCUCUUUCGUAAUGCAGGUUAUGCUGUGUCUCUGAGAGUGCAGCAUAGGUUACAGGUGCAGAAUGGACCUAUAGGACAUUGAGGUGAAGGGGACCCAAGUGGUAUUCCCAUAUUUAUGGUGCUGGUGCCAGUGUUUGCCCUCACCAUGGUAGCAGCCUGGGUUUUCAUGAGAUACCGGCAACAACUUUGAAAAACUUGCUCUCUUUCAGUACUCCCAAUGAAGAUACAUUUCACUCACCCUCCAUCCCUGCUAUUCUGCCGUGUCUUUCACUCUCUGCAUAGCCAGAUUUGAAGUGACUGAUACCCACCCCAAACCUUGCUGUUCAGAAUCUCCAAUUCUUCGUAUUCUAAUGGGAAAGUAAAGGUAUUGUUUGAAGGAAAACUGAAGAAAAGACUUGCUUAGAACAAAUGAGUUAUAUAUUUUACUAGGACUUUUGAUAGAAAUUCAGCUACAACCCAAAGAGAGAAAGAUUGAGUCUUCAUGUCACCAUAGGCAAUAUCAUUUUUCUUAGCUGGCAUGCCAUAAAGACCAGCUGUGUGACAUUAGAGGAAGAAAGGAUUUUUCUUUUUAAUGAUCUUCCUUGGGAAAUUAUUGUGGCCUUUAUUUAAUUUCUAAUUACAUACCUGGGUGCCUAUAUGAGACAAAGGAGAGUGAGAAGAGCAUUUUUACCUUUUUAAAAAAGCAAAUACAUAUAUACACAUACAUAUGUAAAUAUUAUAGUAUAAUAGUGAUACCUAUGGAGAAUUAAAGGUGAGAAAGCUAAAAAAAAAAAUUCAAGUUAAUUUUAGUUUUAAUUCAAGUUGUAAUUGAUGCAAUGUAUGAUAAUGCAAUGGUCUUAAUUUUUUUUUCUUGUAUAGGUUAUGUUCAUUUUUGAAGAGUCUUCUUUAAAAAAAAGUGACUACAAUGGUUUUGAAUUUUAUUUUACAUCCUUUGACUUUUAUUCACCUUUGCCUAUGCUGAAAUUAAAAAUGAAAAACUAGUGUGGUCAUAUUUGUUACAACCUUUCUAAUAAAAUAAUUGUGUGUAAAAAUAGAUUAAUGAUUCCAACAUUAUUGGAGAAAAGGC